GUAAUAGCUAGCGUUACUGUUGCUGUGUUAUUGUUAGUUGGCUGUUAGUGAUCGAACGAACACAUUUUUUCCAAAUCGGCUUCAGGUGCUAGUUUCACAGAUAGUCAACACGUAUUUGCGAGUGCCAAAUGCAUAAUAAAUAGCAGCAUGCCUGACAUUUAACAAGCGUAAAUGCAAAAACGAGGCAAAGAGUAAAUAACAAACGGCUAGAAUGGAGGCGGCAGCAGCACAGAGCAACGGCGGCAGCAACAACCAAUACCGAUAAUGUCGAUACUACUGCUACAAAAUAUAAAUAUUUCAAUAUGCAGCGAGACCGUUAACUUUGGAAAAAGUCAUCCUCAGCCUAAAGCCAACUGACAAAUUACCGCAUUGCAACCGUGUUGACGCGCCGUUGACUCUUGCAGUUUUAAACAGCACUCUAUAUUAUAGAUAGACUUGUGCAUGGCUUGGUACAAAAAUGCAAAAUUAAACGUUUUCUGCCAGCAUGGAAUUGUCUUGCCCCGCACACGCAAAUAAUUCGAACGUUAAUAGAUGUCAUAUCAAAUGAAGUGUGCUUUACGCAUUCAUACACAUAACCAUGCUCAUGCUCAUAUGCAUGCUAUGCCUGCCUGCCUGCCUGCCUGCUUGGUUGCUUGCUUGCUUGCUUGCUUGCCUGUCUUCCUGCCUUCCUGCCUUCCAGCCUACCUGCCCUCCUGACUUGGCCGACUUGGCUGGCUAGCCGCCUGCUUAUUUUCUUAGCCGGAAGACUAUACAACAAGUAGGCACAUGUCGACUGAAUAUCCAUUAUUAUGCGCCUGCGUACACUAUGAAUCGGUACAAAAUAUUUUAU